UUUUUAGUAGAGAUGGGCUUUCACCAUGUUGACCAGGAUGGUCUCGAUCUCUUGACCUUGUGAUCUGCCUGCUUCGGCCUCCCGAAGUGCUGGGAUUACAGGUGUGAGCCACCGCGACUGGCCCUUGUUUUUUUUUAAAUGUUAAAUCUAAUGCCUAGAAUUCUGGAGACUCCCCUGAAGCCACAGGCUCCCACAUUUGGGAGAGCUUUCAUUCUUUCUAUCAGAUUUUCAAAAGGAUCUACAGACUGGGCUUGGUGGCUCAUGCCUAUAAUCCCAAUGCUUUGGGAGGCUGAGACGGAAGGAUCACUUGAGGCCAGGAGUUCAAGACCAGCCUGGGCAACAUAGUGAGACCUUGUCUCUACAAAAGAAUUUUUUUAAAAAAUUAGCCAGGCAUGGUGGUACUCAUCUCAAGUCCCAGCUACCUGGGAGGCUGAGGUAGGUCUGCUAGAGCCCAGGAGUUCAAAGCUGCAGUGAGUUAUGAUCACGCCACUAUACUCUAACCUGGGUAACAGAGCAAAACUUUGUCUCAAAGAAAAUGAAAAAGAAAAAAAAAAGAUCUGCAAUCAAAUAAGGUGAAGAACAAAUGUGUUCACAAGGCCCCCUGGUCUUCAGGAAUGCUGGAUUGAAAUACGGCCCCUCUUGAGUUGCUUAUUGACUGUAUAUUAAAGGCAAGAAUAAGCCCAGAACAGCGAGAAGGGAAGGCCGGGACUGGUAAUCAAGCCAGAUGGAAGCCAGAGCAAAAUGGAACCCAUUUAACACUUUGUCUUGGUCCUGGCCCUGCAGUGAGUGAUGAAGAAUUCUUGGUAUAAUCAUUAAAAGAAAGCUCAAGAGGCCGGGCACAGUGGCUCACGCCAGUAAUCUCAGCACUUUAGGAGACCAAGGUGGAUGAAUUGCUUGAGACACUGGGCAACGUGGCGCACAUGUGUAGUCCCAGCUACCCAGGAGGCUGAGGUGGGAAGAUCACCUGAGCCCAGGAGGUCUAGGCUGCAGUGAGCCAUGAUCACGCCACUGCACUCCAGCCUGAGCAACAGAGUGAGACCCUGUCAAAAAAAUGAAAAGAAAAAGAAAAAUAGAAAGGAAGAAAGGAAGGAAAGAAGAAAAGAAAAGACAUGGAUAUAGCUUGGAGGAGAGGUGGUGAUGACAUCGAUGGCUAACAUGGAUCAGACACUUACAAAGCACCAGGUACUGCUCUAACCACUUUGUAAGUAUCACUGCAUCUCAUACUAACCCUAGUACCUUAUGAUGUACGUACUAGUAUUAUUCAAAGUUUCCAAAUGAGGAAAGUGUGGCCCAGAAGGAUUAAGAAGCUUGCCCAAAGUCACAGAGCUAGUGGGUAGCAGAUCUGGCCCCAGGAAGUCUGACCCCUAACAGUGUCUCAAGAGACCCAAUCCAGAUAGAGGCCACCAACAGGAAAGCAGGGCCUGGAGGACCAAGGACAUCCUUUCACAAAGCUGAGAAGGUGCAAAGAGCAAGCAUGGUGGCUGGGUCAGGGAAAUUGCAAGGAAAAAUAAGCAGCAAUACAAGGGAAGUUGGGAUCUGGACAUGCUUUUUCUUUGGAUCCUGGCAGCUUCCUGGGCAGGAGAAAUUCCUUAAAAGGCCCUCACAGGACUCUAACUUGUUUCCAAAUCCAAACUUCUCUGUAAGAUAGAAUAAUGGUAUAAUAAUAACAAUGAUAAUUUUUAAAAACAGUGUAUGCAUUUUUCCUGUGGUAAGUUUAGAACCAUCAUUCAAUUCAAUGAGUACCCACUGAGAACAUCCAAUGUAGCACACACAGUACUAGGCACAAUGCUUUUGAACACGGAACUUUAUAGUGGAGACUUAUGUAACUUCCAUAGCACAUUAAAGAUCAAAUGUUAAGACAUUUCCAAAUGUUAAAAUAGAGCACUCCUCCUAAUUUUCCCAUCUAUGGGAUACGGGGGGCGGGGGAAUCAAUCUCCCAGGUUAUUCCUGUGAGAGUACUCUAAUAAAUUACUCUGUCUUUUGUACAGGGUCCUCUCCUCCCUGCUAUAUCUUCAGGAGCCACUCCCAUCUUCCAGAGGAGCCCUGCCCUGUGCACACUUGAGCUGUGGCUUCUUCCUUCCAGUAGAGCCCAUCUGUCCUGGCCUUUGAAGGAGUUAAUCAAGCCAUAUGUCAAACAUUUUCCAUUCUCCCCUCUCCAGGCCACUGACAGGACUGCACGUCCUGGGGCCACGUAAGUAGUCCUGAGCAAUGAACUGUGAGUAGGAUACUUGAUUCUCGUUCACUUCCAGGGCAGAGCAUUCAACUGCCAAUGAGAAGCCCUUCGGAGUUCUCUUUUUGCCUCUGUAAGGCAAUAGCAACAUUCAAGAUGGUGGCUGGGCCAGGCAUGGUGCUACUUGGGGGGCCAAGAUAGGAGGAUUGUUUGAACCCGGGAAGUUGAGGCCGCAGUGAGCCAAGAUGGUGCCAAUGCACUACAGCCUCAGGGACAAAGUGAGACCCUGGCUCAAAAAGAAAGAGAGAAAGAAAGCAAGAAAGAGAGAGAGCGAGAGAGAGAG
rnacentral:lncRNA from 1 species